CAUUAGGUUACUUAAAGCAAGUAUUGAUCUCUUAAAUCAAAUUAUAGUAGUUAGCGUUUACUUCUAAUGG
rnacentral:tRNA from 3 species